AGUGUAACCAGUUGACACCCAUGAAUGAUGCUUUCCCCAGUGUUGCUGCUUGACUCUGCUCUAUGUACCUCACUGCUGAAUGCCCAACCAGCCAUACUGAGAUAACCGGCGCAUCCCGGAGAAGCUUCAGCUCUCAUCUGGGUGACAGAUAAGAAAUUUCAUCGGACAGGUUUCCCUUGUGAUAGACAGAAGUAAUAUCUCCGGCAGCAGGAGUGCUCAACCAUGCAUGAAAGCCCGCUGGAGUCCUGAGUGCAGACAGUGCUAAGAAACAAGGCAGGGCACAGGGCGCUGAUGCUGGCGGUAAACACGUACGAAAGCAGCUCUGCACAGAUGCCUUUGUGAUGAUGAAGAGUCAAAAUGUUGCACUUCAGGGAUUCUCCAGACCUUGCCUGUACUGGGGAAUAAAUUCAGGUGAGCACAAUCUCAUCUGCUGCUGAAAUAUUUGGCUGUAUUGUAGAGUACCUAAUGUCGUUUUUGCAAGGAAAUAACAACUGACUGGGAAAUGUUCUCAUAAGAGAUGGGCUUUCUAUGCUCAGAAAUCUUUUCUGUACUGAGGAGCUUUGAAGGAGAUCAGCAGGCAUUGCUGGACAUAGGGAAGGAUGAUUCAAGGCAGAAGAGCCUUGUGCCCUGGGCAGGUGUGGGGCAUGAGGGCAAACCCUGACAUAAAGCAGCAUUAGUCAGAGAAUGAGGAAAGGAGCAUGGAGUGCUGGUUCAUUCAAGGCCAGGCUGGAUGUGGCUCUGGGCAGCCU